rnacentral:rRNA from 1 species
GAUGAACGCUGGCGGCGUGCCUAAUACAUGCAAGUCGAGCGAAGCGGGGACGGGUGAGUAACACGUGGGUAACCUCCUAUAAGACUGGGUUACCUUCGGAAAACCGGGGUUAAACCGGAUACUUACAGAUGGGUCUGCGCUGCAUUAGCUGGUUGGUAAGGUAACGGCUUACGAAGGCAACGAUGCCUAGCCGACCUGAGAGGAUGAUCGGCCACACUGGAACUGAGACACGGUCCAGACUCCUACGGGAGGCAGCAGUAGGGAAUCUUCCGCAAUGGGCGAAAGCCUGACGCAGCAACGCCGCGUGAGUGAUGAAGGCCUUCGGAUCGUAAAACUCUGUUAUCAGGGAAGCGGUACCUAAUCAGAAAGCCACGGCUAACUACGUGCCAGCAGCCGCGGUAAUAC